GGUAAUUUGACCGUGCAAAGGUAGCAUAAUCCUUAGUUUUUUAAUUGAAAGCUGGAAUGAAAGGUUGGAUGAGAAAAAAGCUGUCUCUGUUUAAUUUAUUUAGAAUUUUAUCUUUAAGUUAAAAAGCUUAAAUUUAAAUAGAAGACGAGAAGACCCUAUAGAGUUUUAUUGAUUUUUUUUAUAAAAAUAAUAGUAUUUUUUGUUUUUAUAGGGAGGAUCAAUUUGGUUGGGGUGAUUGAAAAAUUGAAUUAACUUUUUUUUUAUAAAUACAUUUAUAUAUGAUUAUUUGAUCCUUAAUUUGAGAUUGAAAGAUAAAAUUACCUUAGGGAUAACAGCGUAAUUUUUUUUGAGAGUUCUAAUCGAAAGAAAAGAUUGCGACCUCGAUGUUGGAUUAAAAUAAAAUUUUGGUGUAGAAGCUAAAA
rnacentral:rRNA from 1 species